rnacentral:rRNA from 1 species
AAAACUUUCAACAACGGAUCUCUUGGUUCUGGCAUCGAUGAAGAACGCGGCGAAAUGCGAUACGUAAUGUGAAUUGCAGAAUUCAGUGAAUCAUCGAAUCUUUGAACGCACAUU